rnacentral:misc_RNA from 1 species
UUGCAUUCGGGCAAAGCUCCAAGUAAAGCUAUGUCUGGAGAUCACUGUAGCAGAUCUUGUAUAUCUGGUGGUCAUGAUGGGAUGGAGAAGAGAAGUAAACAAGAAUGCACCAGUUCCAAUCAGACAUCAGGGACUAAAGUAGAGGAUGACAUGCCCCUCUCUUCUUUCAUUGGCAGAGUGAAGAAAAGGGAGUGUACUGAAGUAGGGGAUGACAUGCUUCUCUCUCUCUUUGUGGGCAGAUUGAAAAGGGAGCGACACUAAUUUCUUUUUAUAGAUUUCCAAGGCUGCAUAUUAUUCUCUGAAGCUAUGGUAUGGGCCAAAACUGAUUCAUCCUAUCUUCAUCUUGGA